GGAGUCGUCGCCUAGUCCGGCCUAUGGCGCUGUCUUGGAAUGGCAGUUGGGUAGCAAUGCCCUCGGGGGUUCGAAUCCCCCCGACUCCG
rnacentral:tRNA from 1 species